CUUCCAGGAAAAGCCUCUAAGCUUCAGAUAGUCAGGAAUCGUACCCCAAACCGACACAGGUGGUCGGGUAGAGAAUACCAAGGCGCUUGAGAGAACUCGGGUGAAGGAACUAGGCAAAAUGGUACCGUAACUUCGGGAGAAGGUACGCUCUUGAUGGUGAAGUCCCUCGCGGAUGGAGCUGACGAGAGUCGCAGAUACCAGGUGGCUGCAACUGUUUAUUAAAAACACAGCACUGUGCAAAAUCGCAAGAUGACGUAUACGGUGUGACGCCUGCCCGGUGCCGGAAGGUUAAUUGAUGGGGUUAGCGCAAGCGAAGCUCUUGAUCGAAGCCCCGGUAAACGGCGGCCGUAACUAUAACGGUCCUAAGGUAGCGAAAUUCCUUGUCGGGUAAGUUCCGACCUGCACGAAUGGCGUAAUGAUGGCCACGCUGUCUCCACCCGAGACUCAGUGAAAUUGAAAUCGCUGUGAAGAUGCAGUGUACCCGCGGCUAGACGGAAAGACCCCGUGAACCUUUACUACAGCUUGGCACUGAACAUUGAACCUACAUGUGUAGGAUAGGUGGGAGGCUAUGAAGACGUGACGCCAGUUGCGUUGGAGCCGUCCUUGAAAUACCACCCUUGUAUGUUUGAUGUUCUAACUUAGACCCGUUAUCCGGGUUGAGGACAGUGCCUGGUGGGUAGUUUGACUGGGGCGGUCUCCUCCCAAAGAGUAACGGAGGAGCACGAAGGUGGGCUAAUCACGGUUGGACAUCGUGAGGUUAGUGCAAUGGCAUAAGCCCGCUUAACUGCGAGAAUGACGGUUCGAGCAGGUGCGAAAGCAGGUCAUAGUGAUCCGGUGGUUCUGUAUGGAAGGGCCAUCGCUCAACGGAUAAAAGGUACUCCGGGGAUAACAGGCUGAUACCGCCCAAGAGUUCAUAUCGACGGCGGUGUUUGGCACCUCGAUGUCGGCUCAUCACAUCCUGGGGCUGAAGUCGGUCCCAAGGGUAUGGCUGUUCGCCAUUUAAAGUGGUACGCGAGCUGGGUUUAGAACGUCGUGAGACAGUUCGGUCCCUAUCUGCCGUGGGCGUUGGAAGAUUGAAGGGGGCUGCUCCUAGUACGAGAGGACCGGAGUGGACGAACCUCUGGUGUUCGGGUUGUGUCGCCAGACGCAUUGCCCGGUAGCUAAGUUCGGAAUUGAUAAGCGCUGAAAGCAUCUAAGCGCGAAGCGAGCCCUGAGAUGAGUCUUCCCUGAUACUUUAAGUAUCCUAAAGGGUUGUUCGAGACUAGAACGUUGAUAGGCAGGGUGUGUAAGCGUUGUGAGGCGUUGAGCUAACCUGUACUAAUUGCCCGUGAGGCUUAACCAUACAACACCCAAGGGGUUUUGUA
rnacentral:rRNA from 1 species